rnacentral:lncRNA from 1 species
CCAUCAGCGGCUGGGGACUGGGGGAGCCGCCGGAGUCAGGCCCGGAGCGCCCAGGCUGUCUAGACUUGGAGCCUGCGUACGCCCAAGGGAAGAGGAGGAGGAGGGAGGCGGUGGCUGCGCAGCGCAGCAAGUAUUAGUCUCUGUGCCUGAUCCUUCCCCAUACAUCCUGGAACAGCACU